rnacentral:misc_RNA from 1 species
GAUGAAGAACGCAGCGAAAUGCGAUAAGUAGUGUGAAUUGCAGAAUUCAGUGAAUCAUCGAAUCUUUGAACGCACAUUGCGCCCCUUGGUAUCCCGAGGGGCAUGCCUGUUCGAGCGUCAUUUCACCGCUCAAGCCUGGCUUGGUGUUGGGCGACGUCCCCUUUGGGGACGCGCCUCGAAACGCUCGGCGGCGUGGCACCGGCUUUAAGCGUAGCAGAAUCUUUCGCUUUGGAAGUCGGGGCCCCGUCUGCCGGAAGACCUACUCGCAAGGUUGACCUCGGAUCAGGCAGGGAUACCCGCUGAACUUAAGCAUAUCAAUAAGCGGAGGA